GACAGAGGCCUCGAGCGUUAGGCGGAAUCACUGGGCUUAAAGCGUGUGUAGGCGGGCCCGUAAGUGUCUUGUGAAAUCCCACGGCUCAACCGUGGAACUGCUGGGCAUACUGCGGGUCUUGGGCCCACUAGGGGCAGCCGGAACAAGCGGUGGAGCGGUGAAAUGCGUAGAUAUCGCGUGGAACGCCGAAGGUGAAAACAGGCUGCUGGGGUUGCGCCGACGCUGAGACACGAAAGCCAGGGGAGCAAACGGG
rnacentral:rRNA from 1 species